AUUGAACGCUGGCGGCAUGCUUUACACAUGCAAGUCGAACGGUAACAGGCCGCAAGGUGCUGACGAGUGGCGCACGGGUGAGUAAUGCAUCGGAACGUGCCCAGUCGUGGGGGAUAACUACUCGAAAGAGUAGCUAAUACCGCAUACGAUCUAUGGAUGAAAGCGGGGGACCGCAAGGCCUCGCGCGAUUGGAGCGGCCGAUGUCAGAUUAGGUAGUUGGUGGGGUAAAGGCUCACCAAGCCAACGAUCUGUAGCUGGUCUGAGAGGAGAACCAGCCACACUGGAACUGGGAAACGGCCCAGAUUCCUAGGGAAGGAAGCGGUGGGAAAUUUUGGACAAGGGGGGCAGGCCUGUUCCAGCAAGGCGGGGGGCAGAAAGAAGGCCUUCGGGUUGUAAACUGCUUUUGUAGGGAACGAAAGGGCUCUGGUUAAUACCCGGGGCUAAUGACGGUACCGUAAGAAUAAGCACCGGCUAACUACGU
rnacentral:rRNA from 1 species